CAGACAUCACGAGAUUAAUAAAAGUUAUCUUUGGCCUCUACAAUUACAAGAGGUGCUCAAAGUGGUGGCCACUGGCUUCCAGACAUUUCUGUUGUGUUGUAGACGUCACUUGUUGAUGCUCCAUUCAUGAGGGUAGCGCCAUCUGUUGGGAAAACAUCGUACAACAGGACACAGAGUUAUCGUGAUUUGAUCAAACUUAGAAAGAGGAAUCUAUAUGUAUAGAAGUACUUAUACAAAUGAAAUAUUUAUAAAAGUUUUUCUUUUCCUGAUGUGUGUACAUUAUUUUGGCUGACUCUGAACUUAAUGAGAACAAAACUGUCAUUUAAUUGUUGCUCUUAAAGCUUCUUUAGUGAAAACCAGCUGGUGUUCUGCUUUGAAACAAACUGCUGUUGAGGUCUGUGUUUUUAGGUUUAACCCCACAGUUUCUGAAUGAACUGAUAGUUUUUUUUUCCUGAUCAAUGUGGACGUUAUAAUUGAUGGUAACAUUUACUGAUCAUAUAAUCAGCAUGACAAUAUAACAGUAUAACAUUCUGACCACCUGACUAAUACUGUGUUGGUCCCUUUAUGCUGCUGAAACUCCUCUGACCCAGUGGUUCAUCAGAACCUCUGGUUUAUAUAUAUAUAUUGAUUUCUGUCUUUUCUCCUGUCAUCCAGAUGUUCAGAGGGAGCUGAUGCCACAUCUGGUUCAGCUGAUGGAAAGUCUUGAAGUUCUCUGACUGGCCUCGACUGUAGAUGGUCGUCUCACUGGAUUUAAGGUUCAGAUGAUGCACAAUGAGGGACGUCUGCAGAGACUGAGAAAGAGUCUCACCACAUCCUGACAUGAGGAAAAAGACUUUAUUGAAGACUACAAUGAGAAAAACUAUCCAGACAGCAGACGGCUGCAUUCAAGGUGAGCUCUGAACAUUUGAUCUGGAACAGGAAUUCAAUCACGGCAGCAUGAGCUUCAUUUCAGUCUGUAGCUGCUGAAUUCAUGGAUGAAUCAUCUGGCACUAGAGAGGAAGACCAUCAAACAUCCACGUCAGCUGGUGGAGAUCCAAGAGUCUCACCAAACAAACAACCUACAGAGUGAAGACCUCAAAUCUGAUUGGACGGCCUCCUAUUCAGCCACAUGUGUGAACAAAUGCCUCUAAGUUGAUUUGUUUUCUAAAAUAAAUCUAGUUUGAGUCCUAA